UACAGACCUGAGGAGGAGAGGGCGCCGUGAGCAGGAGCCGCUGGCCCGCACAGGCCCGCGAAUCCCAGAGGGACCGCUCACUUCAAUGUACAUGUUCCCGUGGAGCUCCGAGAUGGCCGUCCGCGGCAGCCCGCUCCGCAGGUGGAGCCCGUCACAGUUCUGAGACACCACGUGCUGCACCUGCGGGGCAAGUCGCUGAAGGACCAAGAGGACUGACCCUUCCCUACUUGGUUGAAAGUGCUCGGCAGAGGGUCUUUAGAGUUCCCACAAGCCUCCCCUGUACCUAGGUGGCUUCUGAGAACUGUGGGGACAAUGUGAGAGAAACACAGGGCGGAAAAGCCACCAGCGGCUCUUGGCCUGAGGCCGCCCUACGAUUCACGCGAGAGACUACCCUUCUCUCGAAAAAGCAGCACCAGAGUCUAAAACACUCUGUGGGCACUUAUCCCAGGGGUCCCUGGGACAGAGGUAUGAUGCAGUUGCCAUGUGGGCACAAAGGUGGCCCUCCAGGUCCUGUGCCAGGGACCCGGCAAGUAUACUAGCUAGCCACACCGGGCUCUUACCAGCUUUUGCUCGUGUAAGCGGGCGAUGCUCAUGUGGGUGAGGGUUGGCUCGGCCUCACUCAGGUCAGCAGCACUGCCAGGUGGAAGGGAAGCAAAGGCGUGGGGAGCUGUGAGGUCAGGCCCAAGCUGCCUCUGCUCAACUGGCUGGGAAGGCUGCAUCAGGCUGCUUACCUAACGCUUCUCCCUUUCUGAAGCAGCGUCCACACUCCAUUAGGGCCCCGGUAAUCUGGGAUAGAGGCUGCCUGCAUGUUCAGAAGGACGAGGCCAGUGAAAAUGCAUCACUACGGGAACUGGCAAAAUUCCCCCAAACGAAAACUCAACGUUUUUCUCUUGAUGUGUUCCAGACUCGUCUGUGCCCUGGCCUCCGUUCAUUCCACAGGCUCAGCAUUUCCUAGUCCAACCUGCCUGAACCCAGAUGGAGUGGCUCCUUCCCUCUGCCCGGACCCCUGCCCCAACCCGGUCUAGCUCCUCCCUCCGGCUUCCAAGGACUCCUGCCUCCUCCGGGAGCCUCUCCAGCACGAGCACAAACUGGGCUCUGCAGCCCCAUCUGUCCUCCAAACCAAGGGAGAGGACGGGUCAGGCUGAUCUGUGAGUCCCCAGGGCCGAGCCAGUGCUCAGGAAACACUUAGCAAAUGGUGGCACCCUAGGUAGGAGUGCUGGUCUGUCCCAGUUCUGACACCCGAUACGGUGUUUCCUGACUUCCCUUGACAAAGAAGAGAGCCAAUCUCUCCAGACGAGCUAAACACCCUGAAUGUCCCUACUUCUCAAUGCAGAGAAACGAAACCACCACGAGAGAAGACAGAAGGUGUGCUCGGAGCAAGGAGUCUUACAUUCCCUAGGCUGUGAGUGACAUCCCUUCUGGGGAGCCCUGUCUCCUCCCUGCGGCUUAGGCUCAGAAAAAUGCCCACCCCAAGCAGUGUGGUUCUGAAUCACACUGAAAAGAGAAACCUCAAACAGUGAUGCUCAGAGCAAACUAAAGAGCAGGACUUUCAGAGACGACAAGAAUGACUGGAGGACGGAGACCCGACCACCAGGGUCUGCAAGUUAGGACGGUCAGCGCCCCUUACACGAUCUCGCUGGAUCUUCCCUUGGCCCUCUCCUGUAAAACCUUACUCAACCUUCAAGGCCCGGCCUCAAUGCCGCCUCGCACAGAAAGCAAGCUGGAUGGAUGUCCCAGCUCUCUGAGACCGCGGAGGGCGUGUCUGCAUGUCUGCUCUGGCAACCCGGCCCGGCCAGCUACUGCCAUCCCCUCAUCACCUGCGGCCUCCCCGAGGCCAGAAAUCCUCAGUGUUCACCUCUGCCGGGCCCACACGUGGGUCACACUCGACAGGCACCCAUUAGGUGGACAGGUAACACUCUCAAAGCUAGCCGUGUUCAAUGGCCCGAGAUAGCUUCUCAAUAAAAUGUCCCCAAACCCAA